AACCUGUGAUGAAGAGAUUCUGCCAAAUGAGAAUACUGAUUAUAACCUUUACCGUUCCAUUUAUUUCUGAGGUU